AUUGAACGCUGGCGGCAUGCUUUACACAUGCAAGUCGAACGGCAGCACGGGCUUCGGCCUGGUGGCGAGUGGCGAACGGGUGAGUAAUAUAUCGGAACGUACCCAGAAGUGGGGGAUAACGUAGCGACAGUUACGCUAAUACCGCAUCCGAUCUAUGGAUGAAAGCCGGGGACCGCAAGGCCUUGUGCUCCUGGAGCGGCCGAUAUCUGAUUAGCUAGUUGGUGAGGUAAAGGCUCACCAAGGCGACGAUCAGUAGCUGGUCUGAGAGGACGACCAGCCACACUGGAACUGAGACACGGUCCAGACUCCUACGGGAGGCAGCAGUGGGGAAUUUUGGACAAUGGGCGCAAGCCUGAUCCAGCAAUGCCGCGUGAGUGAAGAAGGCCUUCGGGUUGUAAAGCUCUUUUGUCAGGGAAGAAACGGUAGAGGCUAAUAUCCUGUGCUAAUGACGGUACCUGAAGAAUAAGCACCGGCUAACUACGUG
rnacentral:rRNA from 1 species